AGUCAGGCGUCUGAUCUCCUCUCUUCGGCUUGUCAUCAAAUCUCUCCGGUUUAUCCUCCGGUCGGCUCGGUUUUCCAGCGGCUGGCCUUUCAUCGGGUUUGCCAGGUCCCUUUGGUUGCUCAUCGGGUUGCGUCGGUUUGCUAGCGCCUGGCACCGUUUCAUCGGCACGCGGUACCUUGCCAGGUCUUUCCUCGGGGCGACUUGGUUUCCCUGCCGCGGGCACUGGUUUUCUUGUCGGGGAUACAUAGUCACGAACUUUUCCUGGAGUCUGUGGCCUGGCGCCAGUAUAUCUGGAACCAACUUUCCCCGGGACUCUGUUCUCGUUGCGGAGGUCGACUCGGCUUCCCAGCUGCUGGAAUCGGUUUUGGUCGAUCGUCUUCCCGCAGUCCAGGGAUUCCUCGCGGAUAACCAGGUCGUUCCGGCGAUUCUUUCUGUGGAGUAUCAGCUGGAGAUCUGGGAGUCGAGGUGGUGAAUCUGUCAAACCUGGUGUCAUCAACGACAUCCCGCGCUACCAUACUAGUCACCUGCUCGUUGUCGAUGAAUUCGGUCGUUGACUUGGUGACAUCUCUCUGCAAGCACGUUAGAAUGGAUCGCGUUAGAAAAGGUUGCAGAACGAAACGCGUGAGACACGAUUAAGUCUUUAACGUAACGCGAGACGAGAUAACUCGUCAUCUCUUGGAUACAUGAUCUCUUGGAUGCAACAACUUCUUUAUUCAUACACAGGCUCGUAAACGUACUCGAACGGUUUCACGCAAAACUUUU
rnacentral:misc_RNA from 1 species